UACGAGAGGGGGCAACGUUGUUCGGAAUUACUGGGCGUAAAGGGCGCGUAGGCGGCCUUCUAAGUCAGACGUGAAAUCCCUCGGGCUCAACCGAGGAACUGCGUCUGAUACUGGAAGGCUUGAAUCCGGGAGAGGGAUGUGGAAUUCCAGGUGAUAGCGGUGAAAUGCGUAGAUAUCUGGAGGAACACCGGUGGCGAAGGCGGCAUCCUGGGACCGGUAUUGACGCUGAGGCGCGAAAAGCUGAGGGGAGCCAAAGCGGGG
rnacentral:rRNA from 1 species